GUAUGAAGUUGGAAUCGCUAGUAAUCGCGGAUCAGCAUGCCGCGGUGAAUACGUUCCCGGGCCUUGUACACACCGCCCGUCACACCAUGAGAGUCGGGAACACCCGAAGUCCGUAGUCUAACUUUUACGAGAGGACGCGGCCGAAGGUGGGUUCGAUAAUUGGGUGAAGUCGUAACAAGGUAGC
rnacentral:rRNA from 1 species